rnacentral:rRNA from 1 species
UACGAGGGGGGCGAGCGUUGUUCGGAAUUAUUGGGCGUAAAGGGUGCGUAGGCGGUUUGGUAAGUCUUGUGUGAAAUCUUCGGGCUCAACUCGAAGUCUGCACGAGAAACUGCCGGGCUUGAGUAUGGGAGAGGUGAGUGGAAUUCCCGGUGUAGCGGUGAAAUGCGUAGAGAUCGUAAGGAAGACCAGUGGCGAAGGCGGGUCUCUGGACAGUUCCUGACACUGAGGCACGAAGGCCAGGGGGAGCAAACGGG